rnacentral:rRNA from 1 species
GGAUGAACGCUGGCGGCGUGCCUAAUACAUGCAAGUCGAGCGAACGGACGAGAAGCUUGCUUUUCUGAUGUUAGCGGCGGACGGGUGAGUAACACGUGGAUAACCUACCUAUAAGACUGGGAUAACUUCGGGAAACCGGAGCUAAUACCGGAUAAUAUUUUGAACCGCAUGGUUCAAAAGUGAAAGACGGUCUUGCUGUCACUUAUAGAUGGAUCCGCGCUGCAUUAGCUAGUUGGUAAGGUAACGGCUUACCAAGGCAACGAUGCAUAGCCGACCUGAGAGGGUGAUCGGCCACACUGGAACUGAGACACGGUCCAGACUCCUACGGGAGGCAGCAGUGGGAAUCUUCCGCAAUGGGCGAAAGCCUGACGGAGCAACGCCGCGUGAGUGAUGAAGGUCUUCGGAUCGUAAAACUCUGUUAUUAGGGAAGAACAUAUGUGUAAGUAACUGUGCACAUCUUGACGGUACCUAAUCAGAAAGCCACGGCUAACUACGUG